AGAGUUUGAUUCUGGCUCAGAACGAACGCUGGCGGCGUGGAUAAGACAUGCAAGUCGAACGGGAGAAUUGCUAGCUUGCUAAUAAUUCUCUAGUGGCGCACGGGUGAGUAACACGUGAGUAACCUGCCUCUUAGUGGGGGAUAGCCCUGGGAAACCGGGAUUAAUACCGCAUACGAUUGAAAGAUCAAAGCAGCAAUGCGCUAGGAGAUGGGCUCGCGGCCUAUUAGUUAGUUGGUGAGGUAACGGCUCACCAAGGCGAUGACGGGUAGCCGGUCUGAGAGGAUGUCCGGCCACACUGGAACUGAGACACGGUCCAGACACCUACGGGUGGCAGCAGUCGAGAAUCAUUCACAAUGGGGGCAACCCUGAUGGUGCGACGCCGCGUGGGGGAAUGAAGGUCUUCGGAUUGUAAACCCCUGUCAUGUGGGAGCAAAUUAAAAAGAUAGUACCACAAGAGGAAGAGACGGCUAACUCUGUGCCAGCAGCCGCGGUAAUACAGAGGUCUCAAGCGUUGUUCGGAAUCACUGGGCGUAAAGCGUGCGUAGGCUGUUUCGUAAGUCGUGUGUGAAAGGCAGGGGCUCAACCCCUGGAUUGCACAUGAUACUGCGAGACUAGAGUAAUGGAGGGGGAACCGGAAUUCUCGGUGUAGCAGUGAAAUGCGUAGAUAUCGAGAGGAACACUCGUGGCGAAGGCGGGUUCCUGGACAUUAACUGACGCUGAGGCACGAAGGCCAGGGGAGCGAAAGGGAUUAGAUACCCCUGUAGUCCUGGCAGUAAACGGUGCACGCUUGGUGUGCGGGGAAUCGACCCCCUGCGUGCCGGAGCUAACGCGUUAAGCGUGCCGCCUGGGGAGUACGGUCGCAAGAUUAAAACUCAAAGAAAUUGACGGGGACCCGCACAAGCGGUGGAGUAUGUGGCUUAAUUCGAUGCAACGCGAAGAACCUUACCUGGGCUUGACAUGUAAUGAACAACAUGUGAAAGCAUGCGACUCUUCGGAGGCGUUACACAGGUGCUGCAUGGCCGUCGUCAGCUCGUGUCGUGAGAUGUUUGGUUAAGUCCAGCAACGAGCGCAACCCCUGUUGCCAGUUACCAUCGAGUAAUGUCGGGGACUCUGGCGAGACUGCCCAGAUCAACUGGGAGGAAGGUGGGGACGACGUCAGGUCAGUAUGGCCCUUAUGCCCAGGGCUGCACACGUACUACAAUGCCCAGUACAGAGGGGGCCGAAGCCGCGAGGCGGAGGAAAUCCUGAAAACUGGGCCCAGUUCGGACUGUAGGCUGCAACCCGCCUACACGAAGCCGGAAUCGCUAGUAAUGGCGCAUCAGCUACGGCGCCGUGAAUACGUUCCCGGGUCUUGUACACACCGCCCGUCACAUCAUGGAAGCCGGUCGCACCCGAAGUAUCUGAAGCCAACCGCAAGGAGGCAGGGUCCUAAGGUGAGACUGGUAACUGGGAUGAAGUCGUAACAAGGUAGCCGUAGGGGAACCUGCGGCUG
rnacentral:rRNA from 1 species